ensembl:ncRNA T28B4.8 ncRNA
GACGGCACAAAUAAAUUCCAUUGGAUUUUUUGUCUGAACAUGAUGCCAAUGCCGGUGGUGCCCCCCGAUGCCCACAUCUCCUUAUAUCUAUUCAAUGAAGAAUUUUGUUGAAAAAACGCGAACGACGUCUUCGAAUGGGGCGGAG